UCAAACUUGAUACCAGUUUCUGCAGCCU
rnacentral:piRNA from 1 species